rnacentral:rRNA from 1 species
UACGAAGGGGGCUAGCGUUGCUCGGAAUCACUGGGCGUAAAGCGCACGUAGGCGGACUCUUAAGUCGGUGGUGAAAUCCUGGAGCUCAACUCCAGAACUGCCUUCGAUACUGGGAGUCUCGAGUCCGGGAGAGGUGAGUGGAACUGCGAGCGUAGAGGUGAAAUUCGUAGAUAUUCGCAAGAACACCAGUGGCGAAGGCGGCUCACUGGCCCGGUACUGACGCUGAGGUGCGAAAGCGUGGGGAGCAAACAGG